rnacentral:misc_RNA from 1 species
GAGUUUGGAGAACAUGUUGAUAGGGGUUGCGCUUUCAUGCUUAGAUGGAUGGCGUGGCUCUCCGUAUUCACCUUUCAUGUUUUCCUGAUGUUGGGUCUGGUUUUGGAGAUAUUUUAAUCUCUGUUUUGGAGAUAUUUUAAUCUCUAUUUUGGGUAAGUAUGGGGAAUGAUAGGUGGGAUAUUUGCUUCGAGGGAUGUUAAGAGUAAUAAAAAAA